AUUGAACGCUGGCGGCAGGCCUAACACAUGCAAGUCGAGCGGAUGAAGGGAGCUUGCUCCUGGAUUCAGCGGCGGACGGGUGAGUAAUGCCUAGGAAUCUGCCUGGUAGUGGGGGAUAACGUCCGGAAACGGGCGCUAAUACCGCAUACGUCCUGAGGGAGAAAGUGGGGGAUCUUCGGACCUCACGCUAUCAGAUGAGCCUAGGUCGGAUUAGCUAGUUGGUGGGGUAAAGGCCUACCAAGGCGACGAUCCGUAACUGGUCUGAGAGGAUGAUCAGUCACACUGGAACUGAGACACGGUCCAGACUCCUACGGGAGGCAGCAGUGGGGAAUAUUGGACAAUGGGCGAAAGCCUGAUCCAGCCAUGCCGCGUGUGUGAAGAAGGUCUUCGGAUUGUAAAGCACUUUUAGUUGGGAGGAAGGGCAGUAAGUUAAUACCUUGCUGUUUUGACGUUACCAACAGGAUAAGCACCGGCUAACUUCGUG
rnacentral:rRNA from 1 species